rnacentral:rRNA from 1 species
AUGCAAUCUUAUGAAGAAAAACUUGAAUUGGAAGUUUCUAUCCAUAGAAAACUUUAUGAUGAGUGGGAACCAACUAUUAAAAUUAAAAUUAAAUAUCAUGAAUGCUAUACUUUAUGUGAUUUGGGUUCUAGUGUUUCCACGAUUCCAAAGACUUUGUGUGAUUUGUUAGGUUUCCGUGAUUUUGAUGAUUGCUCUCUAAACUUGCACCUUGCGGAUUCCACUAUUAAGAAACCUAUGGGAAGAAUUAAUGAUGUUCUUAUUGUUGCAAAUAGGAAUUAUGUGCCCAUAGAUUUUAUUGUUCUUGACAUAGAUUGUAAUCCUUCAUGUCCUAUUAUUCUUGGUAGACCUUUCCUUAGAACGAUUGGUGCAAUUAUUGAUAUGAAGGAAGGAAAUAUUAGAUUCCAAUUUCCAUCAAGGAAAGGCAUGGAACACUUUCCUAGAAAUAAAAUUAAAUUACCUUAUGAAUCUAUUAUGAGAGCCACUUAUGUAUUGCCUACCAAAGAUGGCAAUACCUAG